rnacentral:other from 1 species
GGGUUUCUGCUCUGUUUGUGUAGGACACACUAUCCCUGGGGCGAUAAUUUUUAUCUAUGGGAGCUGUCCCUGCCCGGACCGUGGUCCGUGUAAAUGGCGCCCACCUGGUUGCUUUGGCACCAGAGGAUAUACACAGUACCUACACGGCAGCAGCGGUCCCGUC